GGGGGUGUUUUAGGAUUCGACUUGCGGCGUUAAGGGGUGAUAAGCAUACAGAAGGCUCGUCUUCUUAAAAACGGAAAACAAAAAAAUAACUGACGAUCAAUACGAUUUACAGUUCGCUGCUUGCUAGAAAGCGGCCGUGGGACCUGAGACCUACGAUCAGAACUCCUGCGUGGUUUAGUAGGGAACCGAUACACAUAGUGUCUCGAAUGUGGAACGGAAUUUAGAGGCUUUGCUGGUACAUAAGUUUGUUUGUUGACUUUGUAAAGGCGAAACUUGAUAACAAACUAAGUAUGUAGAAAGUCAUUCGGUGACCCGUCUGGACAGGAGUUCAAAUCUCCUCACCUCCACCA
rnacentral:tmRNA from 1 species